rnacentral:rRNA from 1 species
UACGUAGGGUGCGAGCGUUGUCCGGAAUUAUUGGGCGUAAAGGGCUCGUAGGCGGUUUGUCGCGUCGGGAGUGAAAACCCAGGGCUUAACUCUGGGCUGGCUUCCGAUACGGGCAGACUAGAGGCAUGCAGGGGAGAACGGAAUUCCUGGUGUAGCGGUGAAAUGCGCAGAUAUCAGGAGGAACACCGAUGGCGAAGGCAGGUCUCUGGGCAUUAACUGACGCUGAGGAGCGAAAGCAUGGGGAGCGAACAGG